UCUGCGGAGUGGAGGAGCGCGGGCGUGUCUCAUGUCGCUUCAUCUUUGCCUCUUUUUCGUAACAGCCUAUUAUAUAUCCUGCUACUUAGAUUUGUUUACUUAACAAGUAGUUCAGAAGCGGAGGUGCUACUUCUCGUGAUGUGCAUUUCUCUCCGCCUCUCUCUCUCCCCCACUCCUCCUCCACCUCUCAACCCUAACCCUAAUUAAUUCCUCAUCUCUCACCCUCCUCCGAUCCACUCCCGUGAAAGGACGCUCCUUCGUAGAACGAGCUCUUUUUGAAUCGGUUCGCUUCUCCGCUCCGAUCCUCUUUCCCCGAUUCCUUGGAACAUCACUUCAACAUUAUGAAUGGAAAAUCUAAUCUUAGCUGCUUUCGGCCCUCAAAAAAAUAAACUUUACUAUUAUUUUCUGCAUGCCUGGAGCGUUGGGCCUAAGUAGUGGUUAGAGAUAUGUCGAGAUCAGACAUGUAUGCAGGGAUAAUUGAAACUGAAUGUCCUUAUGCCAAAGCUGCUGCUUCGUUGUGCAAGUUGUAUAGUUGCUUGGCGAACUCUUCAAAGUGGGUGGAAUAAAGGGUUCAAAGCGGAUGGAAUAAGGGCCUGCGGUUUUUUAUGUAACAGUGUAACACAAACAACGCUGAGAAGAAGAAAGCAGGAAUAGCAAUCAAGAAGGUGGCAGCUAGAUGAUUUAAGUUGCUUUAUCAGGUGAUACUUGGGAUAAUUGUACAGCAGAUGACUAUAAGAGGAUUCGCGAUAAUUAUGCGAACCACUUGUAACAGAAAGGAAGAUCUUGGAGGUAGAGUUUGGAGGUUAGAGUGCAGUUUCUUUGUUAAGUAUUCUGAUUUUCUAUGUCGCUUGUGCUGUACGUUGAUUGCUUGGAUUAUGUUGCACAUAUCAAAUGUUGCUGAAGAUGAACAGUUUUUACUCUGAACAGUUUUUACACUAUAAUUAGGCCUUUGCAUUCUGAGAAAUUCACAGAUCUCUAAUAAUUUUGACAGUGUAUUAUGGUACA